AAGAGUUUGGUCCAACUCGCAUUCGCAGGUAAUAGGUGUGCUCCUAUUCCUAUUUACUUGGUCCAAGUCAAUUUCUUCUCCCACUUCUUCAUAUUUAUACAUACCCAGAACCUCUUUCCAUCGGCGGCACUCCUCCUCCGCUCUCCGCCGUCAUCACCGCCGCCGCCGCCUCGAAGAUGCCAAACGCUUAAUUAAUUAGUUUCCUAAAACAAUUGCAGCAGAAAAUAGGAUUUUUUACGAGGAUUCAUCAGCUGAACUGCUGAAGAAAAACAUUCACUAUAUAGUGGCAUGCAGCAAAACAUCAACUUGCAGUUAACGAAGAAGAAAACUGAGCAAAAGAAUGCCUGAGAAAGAACCAAGUAAUAUAUCACCGAAACAGAAUCCCGACACUGGUAACAAUGCAUCACAAGAAUCACAUGAAGACAAGUCUUGUGUUUUGGUGCAGACAGAAACCUCUGAUUCUAGAAACAAUGUUUCACAAUCCCA